CGAUCGCUCUUCAUUUCUUUCUCCGUGCGUCUGCCUAAUUCUAGAAAACCACCAUGAGAGCUCUGAGAAACGCCGUCGUCACUCACAAGAAGCGCAACGCAGAGAUGCUGAAGCAGAAAAAAUUUGAGAUGAAAUCCAC